UACGUAGGUGGCAAGCGUUGUCCGGAAUUAUUGGGCGUAAAGCGCGCGCAGGUGGUUUCUUAAGUCUGAUGUGAAAGCCCACGGCUCAACCGUGGAGGGUCAUUGGAAACUGGGGAACUUGAGUACAGAAGAGGAAAGUGGAAUUCCACGUGUAGCGGUGAAAUGCGUAGAGAUGUGGAGGAACACCAGUGGCGAAGGCGACUUUCUGGUCUGUAACUGACACUGAGGCGCGAAGGCCAGGGGAGCAAACGGG
rnacentral:rRNA from 1 species